AUUGAACGCUGGCGGCAGGCCUAACACAUGCAAGUCGAGCGGCAGCGGGAAAGUAGCUUGCUACUUUUGCCGGCGAGCGGCGGACGGGUGAGUAAUGCCUGGGGAUCUGCCCAGUCGAGGGGGAUAACUACUGGAAACGGUAGCUAAUACCGCAUACGCCCUACGGGGGAAAGCAGGGGACCUUCGGGCCUUGCGCGAUUGGAUGAACCCAGGUGGGAUUAGCUAGUUGGUGAGGUAAUGGCUCACCAAGGCGACGAUCCCUAGCUGGUCUGGGAGGAUGAUCAGCCACACUGGAACUGAGACACGGUCCAGACUCCUACGGGAGGCAGCAGUGGGGAAUAUUGCACAAUGGGGGAAACCCGGAUGCAGCCAUGCCGCGUGGGUGAAGAAGGCCUUCGGGUUGUAAGGCACUUUCAGCGAGGAGGAAAGGUUGGUAGCUAAUAACUGCCAGCUGUGACGUUACUCGCAGAAGAAGCACCGGCUAACUCCGUGCCAGCCGCCGCCGUAACAC
rnacentral:rRNA from 1 species